AUCCUCUUGAAAAGGGUGAAUAAGCAUCAGGAUCUUUUCUAAUGAGCUGGCCCUUCGUAUCAGGUGGCCAAAGGAUUGGAGCUUCAGCAUCAGUCCUUCCAGUAAAUUCCUCCUGUGAACCAACCCUCUCAAAGACCAGGGAGCCUCUACAAUGCUCCUGUGACUCUGGAGACCAACACUCGAGCUCAGUAAUUGCGGUGCGGGAUUAGUUGCCCCAGGGCAUGUGGGAUCUUAGUUCCCUGAUCAGGAAUUGAACCUGUGACCCCUGCAUGGGAAGGUGGAUUCUUAACCACUGCACCUCCAGGGAAGUCCGGGCAUGUGGAACUUCCCUGACCAGGGACUGAUUGAAUCUGCACCUCCUGCUGUAGAAAUGUUGGAGUCUGGACCCACUGGACCACCAGGGAAGUCCACCACUGAUCUUUUUUAUUGUCUCUAUCAUUUUGCCUUUUCCAUGGUGUCACAU
ensembl:lncRNA